CCCUCCAUCCAUCCCUCCCUCCAUCCCUCCUCCCCUCUCCCUGCCUCCCUCCCUCCUUGUCUCUCUCUCUGCCGCCACCGGAGCGGAACCGAAAGCGAAGGCGGCUCCGUGUGGCCCCGUGGCGGCCGAGGCCGCGCCCUUCCCGUCCGUCGGAUCGGAUCGGAUCGGAGCGGUGCCCGCAGGGUGCUAAAAUCCCAUUUUUGCAAAGGAGGCUGUAGGGAACUCGGGGCAAGCAGGAGAAUCCCCAGUGAAUGCUGUGCUGUGGGUGAAGGCAGUGAGCCCCAGGGCAGAUCCCACAGCUCGUGCUUGGUGUCUGUACCCCUCGGAGCACUGACAGAGGCCGGGAUGAGGCCGGCAACCUCACCAUGCCAUCCUGCAUCCCCGGCAGCUCCCCUGCUGCCCCUCAGCCCCCACACCGCCACAGAGGGCCCGGGCUGCCGCUGAGUGCCGGCCACCCCACCAUGGAGUCACUCAUAGUGGUGACCGAGUGCGAGGCAACAGCAAGUGAGGAGGAGAUGAGCGUGGCUGCUGUGGAGGAGAGCCGGGAGCCCAGGGCGAAGCUGAACCUCUCCGGCCGAAAGCUGUCCCUGCAGGAGCGCUCGCACCCCGCGCGCUCCCCUGGAAGUGGUGACAGCGAGCGCUUCAUCUACCCAUCCCUCCCCUACUCACCAGUGACAUCCCCACACUCAUCCCCGCGCCUGCCAAGGCGGCCGACAGUGGAAUCCAACCGUGUCUCCAUCACUGGGCUGCAGGACUGUGUCCAGCUCAACCAGUACAAGCUGAAGGAUGAGAUUGGGAAGGGCUCCUAUGGGGUGGUGAAGCUGGCCUACAAUGAGGAUGACAACACCUACUAUGCAAUGAAGGUUCUCUCCAAGAAGAAGCUGAUGAGGCAGGCAGGCUUCCCCCGCCGCCCUCCACCCCGUGGGGCCAAAGGUGCCUCAGAGGGCUGCCUGCAGCGCCGGGGCCCCAUCGAGCAGGUUUACCAGGAGAUUGCCAUCCUGAAGAAGCUGGACCACCCCAACGUGGUGAAGCUCGUGGAGGUGCUGGAUGACCCCAGUGAGGACCACCUGUACAUGGUGUUCGAACUGGUGAAACAAGGCCCCGUGAUGGAAAUCCCCACCCUGAAGCCUCUCAGUGAGGACCAGGCUCGGUUCUACUUCCAGGAUCUGAUCAAGGGCAUCGAAUACUUGCACUACCAGAAGAUAAUCCACCGGGACAUCAAGCCUUCCAACCUCCUUGUGGGGGAGGAUGGACAUGUUAAAAUUGCCGACUUCGGUGUCAGCAAUGAGUUCAAGGGAGCUGAUGCCCUCCUGACCAACACAGUCGGCACCCCUGCCUUCAUGGCCCCAGAGACACUGUCAGAAACCAGGAAAAUCUUCUCUGGAAAGGCUUUGGAUGUCUGGGCCAUGGGAAUCACGUUGUAUUGCUUCGUGUUUGGGCAGUGUCCUUUCAUGGAUGAAAGGAUCCUGAGUUUACACAAUAAGAUCAAGACCCAAACACUGGAGUUUCCUGACCAGCCAGAAGUGACGGAUUUCUUGAAGGAUCUGAUCAUGCGGAUGCUGGAUAAAAACCCCGAAUCAAGGAUUUCAGUCCCUGAAAUCAAGGCAAGUACCUUGCAGCAGCCUUUGGCAGGAGAUUUCUGGCCCUUCGCCCCUGCAGGAACCUGGAAGGGGCGAGAAGCUGAGAAAAUGGAGAUGAAGGCUGUGUUAUUCAUUGAAGUUGCACCCGUGGGUCACCAAGAACGGAGCGGAGCUGCUGCCCACUGAGGAUGAGAACUGCACACUCGUCGAGGUGACGGAGGAGGAGGUGGAGAAUUCAGUCAAGCACAUCCCCAGCCUGGCCACCGUGAUCUUGGUUAAAACGAUGAUUCGGAAGCGGUCCUUUGGGAACCCAUUUGAAGGCAGCCGGCGGGAGGAGCGUUCGCUGUCGGCCCCUGGAAACCUGCUGCCGAAGCAAGGCAGUGAGGAUAACCUGAAAUGCAACGACUUGCCCAACGUGGGAGAGGAGGAAGUCCUUUCAUGACCAGCAGCUUUAUGGUUCUGUUGAGCUGAACUUGGUCUGGGGCACUUCAUCGAGUGUGCAGCUGAGGAUGAGUGGCACUAACAGAGCCCCCACCACCCCCAGCAUGACACGGCGCUAUUUCAGUGUAACGCUGGAUGUAGAGUUUGCAUAGCAGCAUGUUUAAGACAUCCGACUACCGUACCCGUCAUAAACAUUGACCAUCUCUGAUUGCUCGGACUUCUUAUGGGGAAAAAAAAAAAGGGGCUGAUGGAUCCCAGUGAGGUGAGGGAUGGUGUUGAGCAGCAACAGCACAUUGCAAAAGAUCAGGCAAACCAAACUGCAUUUGGAGCUGCUUUUGCCUGGUUUUCAUGCCAAAGGGAUCUCCCACCAUCCCAGGGGCAGUGUGUGCCUGCCUUCUGGGUGCACACAGGACCAUGAAGCUUCUGCAGAGCGCAGCGGUGAAACCACACUCAUGUGCUUUGAGGGGUUGUUGCAUCUAUUUCUUGUUGUUUGGUUUAGGUUUUAAUUGACGCCUUUUUAACUGCAUGGGAACAAAGCAAAAACCACCUUUCCAGCUGCUUUUUUUUUCCUAAAGAAUGCCUACCUUUGUGAGCCAAGUUGUAUUAAACAGCAUCUUUGGGAUGUUCAGAAAGUGAGGUGAAAGGGCAGGGUUUGAGGAUGCUGCCUCUCCCGAGGUCACAGUGUUGGGUAAGUUCAGUAUUCAGUGUAUGGAGGGAAAAGGUUCUUAAGGGCUUAAAUUCAGUCUGAACUAUUUUUGCUGCAGACACAAGAGUAAAAGGUGGUGUUACGCCGAACGUUUUGAACAGCAGAGGAAGCACUAACAAGAGUUUGUUUCUAAACCUUCUACUUGAUCUAGAUAGCUAUAUUGUUAAAUAUAAAAUUCAGGGUAAAAUCCUUCACUUCCAUGUACAUUACAUGGUUUACUACGAUGAAAAAAUAAUAAAAGGUAUGCUAUUUUUUAAGUGUAGACUUAGGGCUUGCUUAGAACUUGAGAUCUCAAUGAAAUACCUAGAUUAGCUAGUGAUUUCUUUUCAAAGAAACCUCUGUUUUCCAAACUCUUCAUUUGGACUCUGGGGCCAAUGCUGGGCUUUUUUUGUAAGUUCAUUACCAGUAAUUGUGAAUGCCUGUGGGUCAGAGGCUUGCUAGUAAAUUAACUGAAUGCCUCAUUAACAGAUUGUUUCUUAUGAAGAGCUCUUUCACCUGCAGUCAGAUUACUCUGAUCAUUUUGUGGUGCUUGUUUAAAAACAAAAAAAUCACUGUUGUGGUGGGAGAGCAUCUGGUUCCUGGCCUCACAUUCCCAAGGUCUCAAAGCUGGAGAAUGGCAGCCUGUAGGUGAGUUGUGGCAUUGGGGCUGGGCUGAGCACAGGCCUCACUAAGUACAUUUGGUUUGGUGGAGCAUGGGGCUGGGAGGGACGUGGGUGGGCUCCUUGUCUCAGUGUCCUCACCGAUGGGGUUGUGCUGGAUGAGGGAGGAAUCACGCAUCCCAAGUACGUGAGGGAUGGAUGAGGCUGAGCUCUUUGCCCUGAGGAAGGCGUUAUAGGAAAGGGAGGUUUUUGGUUGCUGGCCGUAGCUGCUGUAGUCUUUUAGGACAUAACUGUUCCCUUGUCUUCCGUGAUCUUGGCACUGCCAGCAGCAGAGCACUGAGAGUCCUGGCCCAGUAAUUCCUCCUUACCACGAGUCCUCGUUAAAUUCAGGUGGUAUUAGCAAGUGCACAGGUGCCUACAGAACUGCCCCCCUAAGUCUGACCACCUGAAGCUAUGGCUUAUCCUGGGCUGCAGUUAAUUAAUGAAAGACAAUGCAGCUGGCCACUCCAAAGCCAGUGCCUGUGGUUCGUGGCACAGGAGCAGCACUGUGGAUUUUGGAGCCAUAAGACACGCACUGUUUUUCUCCCUUUGUAGUCCAACGCCAUGCCAAAGCCCUGCAGCUUCAGCUAUGGGAAAACCUAACAGGUAACUGGGGUGUCAGCACUGCUAGGGCUGCCUGCUCCCAUCUCUGGGAGGGACUUUGUGGAUAUAGUGAUGGGGAGUGGAUGGCUUAGUUCUGUAACUUUGUAAAUGGGCUUACUCUGUCAGAAAAAAAAAAGGGGGGGGGGCGGGGGGUGCGGGGGGAAGGGAGGGAUCUGAUUGCUUGUAACUGGUACAUUGUGAUGUGUGUGGUGUGUUUUUGUUAAGGGUGAUGGAGCUGUAGCGAUGCUCUGUGCUGAGUAUCUCCAGUUGGUGCUGUGGCAGGUACCUAGCAGGACAGUUUAAAUUUACCAGACAGCUUUGCCAGGUGCAAUGCAGAUUCUGAACAGAAUAACCUGUCCCAGUUUCUCUGUGCCCAAUCCCAGUUACUCAGAUAUUAGCAUAGAUUGGUGUCUUAUGGCCAAUGCAGGCUUGGUUCAUACAGCUUCUAAAGGCUUGGCUCUUGGUGCCAGCUCUGGUAGGGCUGCAGCCAAAUGCAUGGUUCUAAAAGAAACUUGAUGUCGAUUUUCUUGUUGAUGCGUUUUGUUGAAAGCAUAAAGCUUGGAUGUAUGAGGAAGUUAUAUCUAAAUGCAUGACCUGUUAGAGAAGCUGUACUGUGUAUAUAUAAAUCUGCUCGGUUCCAUGUCUGCUGUUCUUUAGUAGUAAAGCUAGCUUCUUUCUUACAGUGAAGUAAACAUUUUGCUUGUGCCUUGGAACUGGGUAACAGCUUGAUUUCCCCAAUUCCCUUCCUUUCAAGCAAGCCCAGUGCUGACUGUAGAGUUAAUGCUGAGUACUCAGCUUUUUUUGGCUCAGAAAGCACACAGGAAAGCGCUAAGGGGAAACCAGGCCUCUUGUCCUGAGUGGUUUUGUUCUGGUUUGGUUUUUUUUUUGGUGGUCCCCUCUAACCUGUCAGGCAACUGAUCUGUUUCUUUUCUAGAGUCCUGAACUAUUGCAGAUUUUUAUACUGUUUAAUGACCAAGGCUUGUGUUUCAUUCUUACCCCUUUAUUAUGCAUUUAACUUUUAUCAGGUGUAUCGAGUUUAAAUACUGUGUAUUUACCACUUUUAAAUUAUAUAACCUAAGAAGAAAACAACUAAGUGUUUUUCCACACAGCUGUUCAAGCUUCUCUGUACAAGCUGAAAUAAACGAUGUGCAACCAAA